UUUAAUUAAGCAUAGUUUUGAUGUAGUUAAUUGUUAAUUAAUUGAGCGGUUUUUUUGUGUAGAGUCGAAUUAUUA
rnacentral:tRNA from 1 species